rnacentral:ncRNA from 1 species
CGAAAAGCGAUGAGAGGGAUAAGUAAACGGUCGGCGGACCCUGCAGAGAGCCGGUGGUUGCUGCGAACCGGCGGAGCCUAUUGAUUGAAAUGGACCCUUGAGCGCCGAAGCGGAAACGAUAGAGGCCAGGUAACGCCGUGAAACGGCGGAGGAACGGCGGCAGCGGCAAGUUGCCCGUUCUAGGCCGAAUUGAAGUAUGCCGGUCGUCCGCCCCGCGUUAAGGGGUGAGAAGGUUUGUUCGGAUCGUUUGCUGCAUGGUUCCGAACGAACAAAUUAGGGUGGCACCACGGUCUUUCGUCCCUUGC